rnacentral:rRNA from 1 species
AGCCUGAUCCAGCAAUGCCGCGUGCAGGAUGAAGGCCUUCGGGUUGUAAACUGCUUUUGUACGGAACGAAAAGCCCUGGGUUAAUACCCUGGGGUCAUGACGGUACCGUAAGAAUAAGCACCGGCUAACUACGUGCCAGCAGCCGCGGUAAUACGUAGGGUGCGAGCGUUAAUCGGAAUUACUGGGCGUAAAGCGUGCGCAGGCGGUUUUGUAAGACAGAGGUGAAAUCCCCGGGCUCAACCUGGGAACUGCCUUUGUGACUGCAAGGCUAGAGUACGGCAGAGGGGGAUGGAAUUCCGCGUGUAGCAGUGAAAUGCGUAGAUAUGCGGAGGAACACCGAUGGCGAAGGCAAUCCCCUGGGCCUGUACUGACGCUCAUGCACGAAAGCGUGGGGAGCAAACAGGAUUAGAUACCCUGGUAGUCCACGCCCUAAACGAUGUCAACUGGUUGUUGGACGGCUUGCUGUUCAGUAACGAAGCUAACGCGUGAAGUUGACCGCC